GAUUCCUGCGUGAGAAUCAAGCAAUUUGGAAAUGUCCACCCUGUAUCCAGCAUCGCAUGAUCGUAAUCCACCGCCUCACCAAUUGAACUAAACAACGGCCAGAAACGCACCACGUGGCUUCGGAUCCACCCUCGACAGCGUCGUCAUCUCUAAUCCUGACCGUCCACCGCCUCAGCAUCUCUUUAUAAGCUGGCUCGCCCUAGAAGCUUAUUCCUCGCCCUCCGCCUGUGAUGCUUUUGUUCGUCGCUUGCGGGUCGGGUCCGAUCCGAUCCGAUCCGCUCCCAGAAAUCUCCUCCUCCCUCUCCAUCCAUGGCUACCUCGCCCUCCGAAAUCAAUCCAUCAUCGGAUCGCUUCGGGUUCGCCGCUUCCAUGGCGGUUUCGAUGGCUCGAAGCCCCUUGCUCUGAAGAUCGAGGUUCGUAACCCUAGCUAACUGAGGUUCCACCAGUUCCUUAGCUGUGUGGGAUGACGGAAGCUGAUUCUUCAAGCGUUCGUUAUGAUCAACAGACUCCCGAGCUCAUCAGAAGCUCGGCGGUGCUUGGCGAGGACGAUCUGGCGGUCAUGGAGGGAAGAGAGGAGAAACUUCCGGUGUCGAUUGGCUUGACAGAGGCUGUGACUAUGUAUUUGCGCUGCUUGUUCGAUUUAUAAUUGAGGUACUGUCGCUCGUUGUUUGGCGGAUGUAUGAGAUAGAUCGGAACGAGAUUUGCCCCCUUAGCUCUGGGGCUGACGAGUUCCGGUCGAUCUUUUGUCAUCCCGGCCUUUGCCAUGAUGGGUGCGCUCGCAUGGCAGGUCAACCAAAAGUCAAUGAAAAAUCAAGCUUUUCGGGUUUUUGAGGGGAGAUCGCACGGGGAUUGCCCGGGUUCUCCUCUCUCUGUGUGCUUUGCGCGCGUUGGCUCUGCUCGCUCUCCCCUUUACUUUUGAUCGCAUCACUCGCUCCAUCCAUUCAAAUUUAGGAUCGGACGAAGACAUUCAAAGCUCCUUCAGACGGGAAAGCAAUUUGUCGCCUAAUGAAUCUGACGCAGAGAAGGUGAGACACAAGGGGUUAAAGGUCGGGCUUAACUCUAAUUUCUUCUAUACGAAGACAGUUAUCAGCACAAUCACACUCGAGCACAUUAAUAUGCCUGUUAAUUGGAAGUAUAUUGCCUAUACCUAGAGUUGAGCUUCAUAAAUUUACAAUCAACCUUGUCGUUACUGUCAAUUGGUGUUAUAUAGUAUUGUCUAACUGCCGUAUCGAUCUUUUAAGUAGGAGAAUUGUCUUUCAUCUCUUGCCUCACAAGGAGGGGAGAAUCAAUUAACUCGGUAUGUGUUCUGGAAUUCUGCAGCCUCGCUUUGAUAUUCUCGUCAGAAUGACCUUCGAAAAUUCUAGAGUAAGUCGAAUCAAUGGGGUUUUGUCCAUUCAAAUACUGGAAAUCCUUGUUCUGUUCAUACGGAUACGCUUCACACAGGAAACCAAAAAUCGUUUUGUUAUACGGUACUUGUCAGUUGCCUUGUUCAACCUUAAUUUAUUGUCGCUGACUUCGUGAUGCUGCAUCUCAUUUCGGGUGUUGCUGCAUCUCUUUUCUGGUUUCUCUCGUUGAAUGGUGGUAUGUGAAUUUUCCAUUUGUGGUUGAUUUGCUUUAUCUCAAUUUGCUUUAUCAAGAAGGGUAUGAUAUGUAAAGGGUCAUUCUAUCAAAAGUGUUGCUUCUUUUUGUAUGUGUUCCUCGGCCUUUUUGGUCAUCGGUGAUUGCUGAGGGCGUCGUAGAUGAGUUCUGGAUUGUGAUCGAGGCAACAAGAUUGGAAGCUUCUCACCACGAAAGGCCACAUCCUUGUUUCUGAUAAAGCGGAAGGAAGAUGGAAGAUUGAGAGAAGAAAGCGGAUUGAGCAUUUCCUGUUAUUGCGGAUCGAGAGGUGACAGUCUCUGCUUGGUGUGGUGUGCGAGUAUGCAUGAUGUUUACCCCUGCUCCAAUUACCGAAUCUUGGGUUGAACAUUUGUCGUGCAUGUGAGGUUAUCUUUUGCUGUUCUUGGUACGUCUUCCGAUACUUAUGUUCAGUUCUGUUAGAAUAAUGAUGCUGGCAGUUGGAUCA